rnacentral:rRNA from 1 species
UACGUAGGGUGCAGGCGUUAAUCGGAAUUACUGGGCGUAAAGCGUGCGCAGGCGGUUUGCUAAGACAGGUGUGAAAUCCCCGGGCUUAACCUGGGAACUGCGCUUGUAACUGGCAAGCUUGAGUGUGGCAGAGGGGGGGUGGAAUUCCAGGUGUAGCGGUGAAAUGCGUAGAGAUCUGGAGGAAUACCGGUGGCGAAGGCGGUUCUCUGGGCCUUACC